CAGUCCGUCGCCGACGUUGACGUCGCCGUAGGUGGCCGCUCCCGCUCUUCUUUUGCUUCGCUUUUCGCCCCGGUCCGGUGCCCGGCCUGCGGUCUCCUUCCAGCGCACCGUCGCGUGCGGUGGGUUUAGGUUCGGUCCGGUCUUUCGCUCGCGGCUGGCGGCGCAGUCGGGCGCGCACGGCAGCAGCAACGAUCCGGCGCCGCCCUCUCCCGCCGCCCUCCCUACUACCUCCGCCCCCCUCCCCCUCCUCCCAAGUCCCUGCUCGCCCACGGCGUCACCCCGCACGUCCUCUGCGCCCUCGAGUAGCGCCGCGCGCCCCUGGACCUCGCCCUCCGGCGGCGCCCCGCGUCGCGGUUCUGCGAGACCCUCCGCCACCGCCUGCGCGAGGCCCGCGCGCCCAUGGCGGCGUGGCGGCUAGUCACGUUCACGUUCACCUUCUUGGAGCAGUUGUCUAUGUUCCCCUUUCUUUGUAGACUAGGUCUUUGGCCGUCUGUUACAGGGAAGAAACUUCUUAAUGUACGUCAGAAGUGACUUGCACGAUUUUUAUACGUUGCAGUUGAGGAAGUCAGACUUAGCCCUUGAAGUCAAUUUUUCUUUAAUUUCGCUGGAUCGCCACUGGUCAGUAGACCCCUCAGACUACUCUUGCUUAUACCGCAACUUCAGUCGCUACUACUCUUUGGGCACUAUUCGUUUUUCGCCUUCCGACCACUAUUCCCCGUUGGUAGCGUUGCUUACCGCCUUUUGAGUUCCCGGCCGUCAAGUUCGUAGGUACUAGACAACGUCCUUAAGGAUCACGUCGUUGUCGUACAGCUAUACGACACCGUACUCUGCUACCUCGCCGCGCGGGUCCUCGCCGAGUAAAAGCUUGUUCUUACCUCCGUCAGCUACGUCUUCGAACUCGUCCUCUCCGACUACGACCUCGUCAGUACCUAUCUCGCUCUCCUUGUCGCUUCCUACUCCCUUCUUCGUUCCCGAGUCUUCUCCCUAAGCGAGUACUGGUGGGACGACUUGUUUGAGAAUGUUCUUCUAGAUAUCUUCUGCUUCGAAGAAACAGUUACCCAUCUAUUACAUGAUCUGGAGUAAAAAGAAUGGUACAAAGUAGCUAAGAAAAAUCGAUAACGUUGUACGACAACAGGUCUUCUUCUACAAACUACAUCGAAUAAUUGAAAUAUCACGAGUAAAGGUUAAGAAAUGGCCCCAAUAUAAAUAUAUGAUUAAAUAAUCUCUACAUUCAUAGUCUACGGUCUAUCCACUAGAUGACUAGAUACACUAAAGGCCUCUGUAAUCCGAAAGUCCGUAGUCAGCAGAACGCGCUUAUAGUACACGAGAUCGUAAAAGUGCCGUAACAAGGUAUACAACACUUGAACAUUACAUCUGACCUAAAUACAAGAC
rnacentral:rRNA from 1 species